AAAUUGAAGAGUUUGAUCAUGGCUCAGAUUGAACGCUGGCGGCAGGCCUAACACAUGCAAGUCGAACGGUAACAGGAAGCAGCUUGCUGCUUCGCUGACGAGUGGCGGACGGGUGAGUAAUGUCUGGGAAACUGCCUGAUGGAGGGGGAUAACUACUGGAAACGGUGGCUAAUACCGCAUAACGUCGCAAGACCAAAGAGGGGGACCUUCGGGCCUCUUGCCAUCAGAUGUGCCCAGAUGGGAUUAGCUGGUUGGUGAGGUAACGGCUCACCAAGGCGACGAUCCCUAGCUGGUCUGAGAGGAUGACCAGCCACACUGGAACUGAGACACGGUCCAGACUCCUACGGGAGGCAGCAGUGGGGAAUAUUGCACAAUGGGCGCAAGCCUGAUGCAGCCAUGCCGCGUGUAUGAAGAAGGCCUUCGGGUUGUAAAGUACUUUCAGCGGGGAG
rnacentral:rRNA from 2 species